rnacentral:rRNA from 1 species
UACGUAGGGGGCAAGCGUUGUCCGGAUUUAUUGGGCGUAAAGAGCGUGUAGGCGGCUAGGUAGGUCCGUUGUGAAAACUCGAGGCUCAACCUCGAGACGCCGGUGGAAACCAUCUAGCUAGAGUCCGGAAGAGGAGAGUGGAAUUCCUGGUGUAGCGGUGAACUGCGUAGAUAUCUGGAGGAACACCGGUGGCGAAGGCGGCAUCCUGGACCAACACUGACGCUGAGUGAGCGAAAGCCAGGGGAGCAAACGGG